rnacentral:rRNA from 1 species
CAGUCGCCACGGGAAUACAGAGGAUGCAAGCGUUAUCCGGAAUGAUUGGGCGUAAAGCGUCUGUAGGUGGCUUUUCAAGUCCGCCGUCAAAUCCCAGGGCUCAACCUGGGAAUGGCGCUUGUGACUACAAAGCUAGAGUGCGGCAGAGGGGGAUGGAAUUCCGCGUGUAGCAGUGAAAUGCGUAGAUAUGCGGAGGAACACCGAUGGCGAAGGCAAUCCCCUGGGCCUGCACUGACGCUCAUGCACGAAAGCGUGGGGAGCAAACAGGAUUAGAUACCCCAGUAGUCCCUGUCUCUUAUAC